AUUGAACGCUGGCGGCAGGCCUAACACAUGCAAGUCGAACGGUAACAGGAAGAAGCUUGCUUCUUUGCUGACGAGUGGCGGACGGGUGAGUAAUGUCUGGGAAACUGCCCGAGGGAGGGGGAUAACUACUGGAAACGGUAGCUAAUACCGCAUAACGUCGCAAGACCAAAGAGGGGGACCUUCGGGCCUCUUGCCAUCGGAUGUGCCCAGAUGGGAUUAGCUAGUAGGUGGGGUAACGGCUCACCUAGGCGACGAUCCCUAGCUGGUCUGAGAGGAUGACCAGCCACACUGGAACUGAGACACGGUCCAGACUCCUACGGGAGGCAGCAGUGGGGAAUAUUGCACAAUGGGCGCAAGCCUGAUGCAGCCAUGCCGCGUGUAUGAAGAAGGCCUUCGGGUUGUAAGGUACUUUCAGCGGGGAGGAAGGGAGUAAAGUUAAUACCUUUACUCAUUGACGUUACCCGCAGAAGAAGCACCGGCUAACUCCGUG
rnacentral:rRNA from 1 species